UUAGGAAUAUUCGGCAAUGGGGGAAACCCUGACCGAGCAAUGCCGCGUGAGUGAUGAAGGCCCUAUGGGUUGUAAAGCUCUGUUAUAGAGAAAGAAAAUCCACUACAGGAAAUGGUAGUGGCUUGACGGUACUCUAUUAGAAAGCUCCGGCUAACUACGUGCCAGCAGCCGCGGUAAUACGUAGGGAGCAAGCGUUAUCCGGAUUUAUUGGGCGUAAAGCGUGUGUAGGCGGUUUAUUAAGUUUAAGAUUAAAGCCCGAGGCUCAACCUCGGUUCGUCUUAAAAACUGGUAGACUUGAGUGUGGUAGAGGCAAGUGGAAUUUCUAGUGUAGCGGUUAAAUGCGUAGAUAUUAGAAGGAACACCAGUGGCGAAGGCGGCUUGCUGGGCCAUUACUGACGCU
rnacentral:rRNA from 1 species